GUUUUAUGUUACAUUUUAAAGUUGCAGAACUGUAGUGUUAUAACUAUAUAAAUUUAGGGACAAUUGUUGAAAUUUAUCCUCUUAGAGCUUAUAAGCUGGUUUGACAAGCUUAUAAGUUAAGAUAAACAUCAUCUUAAAAUAGUUUCAGUCUGAAGCGUUGGGCAAAGAUAAGGAAUUUAGAAUUGAGACUAAAAAUGAGUUUUGUCAAUGGAAUGCGAUUCUCUUCUCAAAAAGCUAACUAUUAUGAGUUUGUCUGGACAUUCGAGCAAUAGUAUUAUUGUUGUAGUUUAAUAAUCUCCCUAGACCUGUAUUGUUUGAUUUAGAUGUAUUGUAAUUGUUAGCAUAAUUACAGCAAU
rnacentral:misc_RNA from 1 species